CAGCCGCCGCGGUAACACCAGCCCCUCGAGUGGUGGGGAUGAUUAUUUGGCCUAAAGCGUCCGUAGCCUGCCGGAUAAGUUUCCCGUUAAAUCCAACGUCUCAAGCGUUGGUCUGCGGGAAUUACUGUACGGCUAGAGAGUGGGAGAGGUCAGCGGUAUUCUGGGGGUAGGGGCGAAAUCCUUUGAUCCCCGGAGGACCACCAGUAGCGAAGGCUGCUGUCUAGAACACGUCUGACGGUCAGGGACGAAAGCUGGGGUAGCGAACCGGAUUAGAUACCCGGGUAGUCCCAGCCGUAAACGAUGCAUGCUAGGUGUUGGGUUGGCCACGAGCCACCCCAGUGCCGCAGGGAAGCCGUUAAGCAUGCCGCCUGGGAAGUACGAUCGCAAGGUUGAAACUUAAAGGAAUUGGCGGGGGAGCAC
rnacentral:rRNA from 2 species